rnacentral:rRNA from 1 species
UAAGUUGUUUUUACACAUAAUCUAAAAUAAUUAUAAAAACAUCCUAAUUAACUAAAAACAUUAAUAAAUUUAGUAAAGGUGAAAGAAACUUAUUUUUAUAAUAAAAGUACUGAGAAGGAACAAAUUAAAUUAAUUAAUAAAAAGAUUAAAUUUCUGUACCUUUUGCAUCAUGGUUUAACUAGAUUUAAAUUUUCUAGGAAAGUUCUCGAAAUCUAAUGGGCUAUUUUUGGUCAGCAUUAUUAGGUGCUUAAAAAGUAAUUGUAGCAAAAAUUUUUUUAGAACUAAAAAUAGAAAUGAAAUUUUAUCCGUAUUAGAUGAUAGCUAGUUCUUUUUUAAAAGUAUAGAAGUACUGCAAAUUUCUUAUGUUUAUAGAACACAUAUCUCUAACAUAAAUGGAAAUUUAGUGAGGCCUUUGAGGAUAAGCUCAAGGGCGUACAAAACUGUAUUUAAUGUUAAGUAGUUAAAUUUAGGCUUGAAAAUAGCCAUAAUGUGCGAUUUUGUUAUAAUUUCAUUACUUAUAUUUACAUAAAAUUAAUUUACUUUUAGUUUAGAAAAGAAAGUUUUUUAAUAUAAAAUAAACUAAACACAUGCUAAAAUGAGUAUUAAUUAAAUUAUAUAUUUUAUUAAAAUAAAAUUAUAAACUAAGUAAAAUAUUUUUAUUGCAAAUUGAUGAAAGGAACUCGGCAAAACUUAAUUCCGCCUGUUUAUCAAAAACAUGGCUCCAUGUUAUUGUUUUAUAUGGAGUCUGACCUGCUCGGUGAAUAUAUUUUUAACAGCCGCGGUACUCUGACCGUGCAAAGGUAGCAUAAUCAUUUGCCUUAUAAUUGAAGGCUAGUAUGAAUGGUUUGACGAGAAUUAAGCUGUCUCUUCUCAAUUAAAUAUAAUUUUAUUAACAGGUGAAGAAGCCUGUGUGUUAUUGAAAGACAAGAAGACCCUAUCGAGCUUUAAGGAAUUCAAUAGAUUUAUUAUAUAUUUAUAUAAAUAUAAAACUAUUGAAAACUUUGGUUGGGGCGACUGAGGAACAAAAAAAGCUUCCUUUAUAUCUUUAGAACCUACAAGUAUUGAUCCAAUAAAUUUGAUUAAAGGAAUUAGUUACCGUAGGGAUAACAGCAUAAUCUUCUUUGAGAGUUCUUAUCGAAAAGGAGGUUUGUGACCUCGAUGUUGGACCAGAAUACCCAGAAGAUGUAGCCGUCUUCAAUGGUUGGUCUGUUCGACCAUUAAAAUUCUACGUGAUCUGAGUUCAGACCGGCGUGAGCCAGGUCAGUUUCUAUCUUCAAUUUUUAUAGUAACCUUAGUACGAAAGGACCAGGCUAUUACAAGAACAAGUUGUUGAUUUAUGAUCAAAUAUAAAAAAUGAUUUAUUGUAUAGUUUAU